rnacentral:rRNA from 1 species
GAUGAACGCUGGCGGCGUGCUUAACACAUGCAAGUCGAACGGAAAGGCCCAAGCUUGCUUGGGUACUCGAGUGGCGAACGGGUGAGUAACACGUGGGUGAUCUGCCCUGCACUUCGGGAUAAGCCUGGGAAACUGGGUCUAAUACCGGAUAGGACCACAUUUUGGAUGGUGUGGUGGAAAGGUUUUCGGUGUGGGAUGAGCUCGCGGCCUAUCAGCUUGUUGGUGGGGUAAUGGCCUACCAAGGCGUCGACGGGUAGCCGGCCUGAGAGGGUGUACGGCCACAUUGGGACUGAGAUACGGCCCAGACUCCUACGGGAGGCAGCAGUGGGGAAUAUUGCACAAUGGGCGCAAGCCGGAUGCAGCGGCGCCGCGGGGGGGAUGACGGCCUUCGGGUUGGAAACUCCUUUCGCUAGGGACGAAGCGUUAUGUGACGGUACCUGGAGAAGAAGCACCGGCUAACUACGUG